rnacentral:rRNA from 1 species
UACGGAGGGUGCAAGCGUUGCUCGGAAUUAUUGGGCGUAAAGCGUAUGUAGGCGGUUUUCUAAGUCUGAUGUGAAAUCCCGGGGCUCAACCCCGGAACUGCAUUGGAUACUGGAAAGCUAGAGGGCGGUAGAGGAUGGUGGAAUUCCUGGUGUAGGGGUGAAAUCCGUAGAUAUCAGGAGGAACAUCAGUGGCGAAGGCGGCCAUCUGGACCGCGCCUGACGCUGAGAUACGAAAGCAUGGGGAGCAAACAGG